rnacentral:rRNA from 1 species
UGGAGCGUUGCGGUUUAAUUGGAUUCAACGCCGGAAAUCUUACCGGGACCGACAGCAAUAUGAAGGCCAGGCUGAAGACUUUGCCGGAUUAGCUGAGAGGUGGUGCAUGGCCGUCGUCAGUUCGUACUGUGAAGCAUCCUGUUAAGUCAGGCAACGAGCGAGACCCACGCCCACAGUUGCCAGCGUACUCUCUGGAGUGACGGGUACACUGUGGGGACCGCCGCUGCUAAAGCGGAGGAAGGAAUGGGCAACGGUAGGUCAGCAUGCCCCGAAUUAUCCGGGCUACACGCGGGCUACAAUGGUCAGGACAAUGGGUAUCAACACCGAAAGGUGAAGGCAAUCUCCUAAACCUGUCCUUAGUUCGGAUUGUGGGCUGCAACUCGCCCACAUGAAGCUGGAAUCUGUAGUAAUCGCGUCUCAAAAUGGCGCGGUGAAUAUGUCCCUGCUCCUU